GCUAGGAACAUGAUAGCAUACGCCUUGGAGCCAGUGCUGGAGGCCUGCUGAUGUCCCAGAGCAGAAAUAGCCUGUUUCAUCAUCGGCUCUGGACAACCACAGCCUGCAUUCCUCGAGUAAGGAGCUAUACUGUGCCAUGCUUUUGGAGCAAGAUAAUUUGCCAGCCACAGGCUGGGGAAGGCUGAUCUUUUCAAGGAGAGAGGUGCAGAAGGAUGUGAAAUAAUCAGGGAAGAUUCGAGGCUGGCAGUAUCUGGUGGGCAGAGACAAGAAGCUACACCGCUCAGCCACCUCGAAGGGGGCAACUCACCUGACGUGUGCUCUGCCAGGUUGGCUGUUUUGCAUCUGAUGUUCUUCAACUGAGAAUUUCAACUGAGCACGCGCUUGUUGGAUCACAAUCUCAUGAGACUACUUCGGCUAUGGUGGCAGGAGAUCUGCAGUGAUUGGCAGCCUUAGGACUUUGUGCCGAGGAAUUGGUGAGAAGCUGCGUGCCUCUUUGCUACUGAACACUACACAGCUAUGGGAAGAGACAGUUGUAGGGGGAAGCAAAAGAAGGUGAGGAACCUAUCACUCUGGGACAUAGAAGAAGGAAGAUAGUUCAUGUGUGGGGUAGGUGUAUGCAAGAACACAGUCAAGGCCAGCUCACCUGGGACCCCUACUACGAUCUCCCAGGUGCCAGAGGAAACUGAUUUGCUGAACCAGAGCCAGCCCAUUGAUCAACCUUCUUGUGAGAUUUCCCCAUCCUGCAAACAGAGCCAGCUGCUUUUAGCUUCCACUCCUAACAAGGUCACUAUACUCUUCAAUCAGGCCUCCUGGUGAGUCAUAAGGCCUCUCUAAUGUUGCAAACAAAAUUGUGUUUGGAAAGCUGACACUUGCCGGAGUAGCUAAUUGAGGUUCCAUGGCUGGGGCCCUGUGAGUGUAGGAGGGCCUCUCCCCUACUCCCCUCUGCCCCUUCGUUGUGCUUCUGCUCCUGGUAGAUAGCAUCUUAGGUCAAGCAUGUGCUAAAUAUAGCUGUCCUCCCAGCUGGGCUGUCAUCGGGGCUGUCAGCAGCACUGUCCCCAGGUUUUGGUCUCAGUGUUACGGCAGCCUUUGGCUUAACAGCCAAGUCCAGCCACGAGGUGAGGAUUUGUGUUUAAGAGUCAUCUCUCUUCAGACCCCACAAAGGCAGGUGAGACUAGGGAGAGAGGAACAUCGGGAUGAGGGACUGGAACACUGGCUUGGAGCUACAGUGUUGUGGCUGCCUUGAAGAACCGAGCAAUUGGCUUUUGUGCCUCAACUCGUCUCAGGCAUCAGCCUGGCUGAGUGAGAGCCGCAAGACUUGCCAGGAGGGCCGAGGUUGUUGUCUAUUCACCUCUUUACUCCCACACACCAGCAAAGGACUAUGGGAAUCCACUGACCCCUUGGGCAGGGAAGAAUACUGGUGUUUUAUGCUUCCCACCAUGGUGAGGGAAUGGGAGCCAGGACAUGCUGCUGUCGGUGAAGAGAAGAGCCUCCUCUAGCCAGAAUUCACACACACUCAGUCACCACCACAAGGACCUGCUUAAGGAUCUCCCCAUCAGCCGCCCGUGCAGGACGAGAUGGGAUUUUCGCUUUGCUUUGGGGCUGAGUUGGAGCGUCUGACCUUGAAGAUCCCAGCGGCAUCUGCGAGCUCAUUCAGGUGGUUGGCAAGAGAGAACGGCAGUCGUUCCAAGUUAUCCCGUGGAUAUGUCCAGAGGUGCCCAUGCAGUGGAUGCUCCCAUUGCUAAGGGGCAGGGGGUUGCGAGAAUAUGAUCCCAGCAUGAAGUAUGAACCUCAUAUUCUUAUUGGAGGCCUGAAAACAAUGAAUUGUAGUGGAAAGCUGCCGUGACAGUGUCUUCGUUUACUUUCUAAAGACUAUGAUCAAAAACUUUGAGAGAAAAAGGUUGGCUUUGUGUCCUGGUCACAGCUCAUAGUGAAGGGAAAUCAGGGAAGGAACUCAAGGUAGGAACCUGGAGGCAGGAACUGAAGUAGAAGCCAUGGAAAAGCACUACUUACCGUUUUGCUUCUCAUGGCUUGCUCAGCCCGCUUUGGCAUACAACCCAGAACCGCCCACCCACAGUAGAUUGUGCCCUCCCACAUCAACCAUCAAUCAAGACAAUGUUCCACCUACUUGCCUACAGUCCAAUCUGAUAGAGAAAUUUUCUCAAGAGAGGCUCCCUUGCCCCAGAUGAUCCUGCUUUGUAUCAAGGUGACAAAAAACUAUAUAACACAUAUGGUUAAUACACAUUUGCAACUUGAAAAGCUGUGGAAGCACCCAGGAGACAAGCCUGUGGGCAUCUGGAAGAGUGUUUUCAGAGAGUUUUAGCUGAGGUGGGAGACCCAUCAUGACUGUGGGUAGCACCAGCGUGGCUGGGGUCCUGACCUGAAUGAAAAGGAGAAAGAAUGAAACAGAAGCUCCCAUCUCCCUCUGCAGUUAACCUUGCUCAGUAUCCCAUAAAAGCUUAUAAAAUGGUAAUUAUUUAAUUGCAUAUUUGAUCUACACAGUAUAUUUUAUGUAUUGUAUAAUUAUCACUAUCAUAAUUAAUGGUGGCUAAUUCUUUUGUAAUGGAAAGCAGUAGCAUAAGGACUGCAUAAAGAUCUGUUCUAUUUUGCUUCAAGAUUAAGUUCAGAGGCUGGGAAUGGAGUUCAGUUGGAGAGCACUGGCAUUUUACAUGUCAGGCACACAUAGAGACACAGACAC
rnacentral:sRNA from 1 species